rnacentral:rRNA from 1 species
UACCAGCUCCCCGAGUGGUCAGGACGAUUAUUGGGCCUAAAGCAUCCGUAGCCGGCCCAGUAGGUCUCAUGUUAAAUCCACCGGCUCAACCGUUGGUCUGCAUGAGAUACCGCUGGGCUAGGAGGCGGGAGAGGCGGACGGUAUUCCUUGGGUAGGGGUAAAAUCCUUUGAUCCAGGGAGGACCACCAGUGGCGAAGGCGGUCCGCCAGAACGCGCUCGACGGUGAGGGAUGAAAGCUGGGGGAGCGAACCGG